GCCAGGCGACGGAGAGGGAGGGACCAUUUUUGUGGCACCAUCGCCACUAGAGGUAGGCCUCCCUCACGUUGGAGAAACCAGACUCCACACAGAAUCAAAAGGCAGAUAAUCCACAACCGGGUUAUCUGAGUCCACACUGCUAUAUAAUCCAGAUGGAAACAGGCUGGACGGCCAUCUGUCAGGAGUGCUUGGAUUGUGUCCUCCUGCAUGGUAGAAGGAAUACCACCAUUACCUCAACAAUUUCUUACCAACACCACCAGACAAUGCCACAGCAACGCGUGGCCGGGCACAGCUAGUGACAAUAUAAAGCAACAUCACACAAAUGCUGCAUCCAGCACUCCCUAAUGAAAGGAACAACCAGAGUUGCUUCUGGAGUGAGAGAAUUGGCUGUCUGCAAGGACAUUGCGCAGGGGACACCCGGAUGUUUGUUUGUUUUUUAUGUUUUACCAUCCUUGUGGGAGGUUUCUCUCAUGUCCCCACAUGGAGCUGGAGCUGAUAGAGGGAGCUCAUCCGCGCUCUCCCCGGGUGGGAUUUGAACCUUAUUAUCCAACAUAUUAUCUCUCCUUAUUGUCCAACAUAUUCGCCUAUCCAACGUUCUGCCGGCCCGUUUACGUUGGAUAAGCGAGACUCUACUGUAUUCUGGUUUCAUUUUAAUAUUGACCUGGAGGAUUUCUUCCAUAGUUUUCCUAACUUCUUCCCAGAACUUCUGGAUUUUCUUACAUAGCCACCACUGAUGGAGGAACGCACUGAUGGAGGAACGUACUAAAGUACUCGAGAUUAUGCAAAUGGAGAUUCUGACAGAAAGAAUUAAAUUAGGACAUAAAAUAACAGAUUGGUCAAGAGUCAAGGACUUCCUAGAGAAGCAACGAACACCAUCUAUAUAUAUAAAAGAGUAAUGAAAUUUCGGCCUAGGACAAAACAACAAAACUACACAUCCCAGAAACACUAAACUUGGCAGCACAACCCCUCAUCCAUGCCUCUACGUUCAUACAACAAAAAGAAAAGAAAAAUAAAGUCCUAAUUAGAGGGAGAUGAAUAAUUGUUUUUAUCCAAUUGCUGCCAGUUAGAAGGCUAAGCUCCGCCCACUUGGUCUCCUAGCAACCCACUCAGCCCAGGGGACAGGCAGAGUUAGGCCUCACUUAGGCCUCUUCCACAUUGCCUAUAAGAUACAGAUUAUCGGAUUUUAACUGGAUUAUGUGGCAGUGUAGACUCAAGGCCCUUCCACACAGCUGUAUUAACCAUUUAUAAUGGACUUAAUGUCAGGGGAAAACGUUGACCCUUUACCUUAACUACCACCAAUUCCUCAAUACUUUAUUUCCCAUACCACCAGACUUCGCCACAGCAAUGCGUGGCCGGGCACAGCUAGUUAAUUAUAGAAUCAAUACGAGAAGUCAGUAAGACAAUUAUACUUAUAAACAUAAAAGACAGGAGGCGGGAAAUAUAUAAGAUGGAUAUGAAAUAUGCCUGAAAGGAAUGAAUUGGAAGGCAAAUACUUUUUUAAAAUAUAUUUUUCUUCUUUUUUUUUCCUUUUUUUUCUUAUGCCUCUCUUAAUUUUUUUUCUUCUUUUUUCCCUUUCUCCUAUCUUUCCUAUACCCACUAUUGUUCUCACUCUAUGUACAGAAACACUUAAUAAAAACAUUUUUUUUUAAAGUAACAUAUCCAACCUUUGCAGCUAUAUGAAUCCCAAUUCAUCGUGCUUCUGACACUCUGCACCAAAUUUAGCAAUGUUGAUGCAGGCAGGUUUUGUCUGAGCAGUCUCACGACGAAAGCCAUCAUUUGAAACAGAAUGUACCAAGUGCGAGCCACAGAAUAAACUACUCAUGUUCACACA